GACGAACGCUGGCGGCGUGCUUAACACAUGCAAGUCGAACGGAAAGGCCCUGCUUUUGUGGGGUGCUCGAGUGGCGAACGGGUGAGUAACACGUGAGUAACCUGCCCUUGACUUUGGGAUAACUUCAGGAAACUGGGGCUAAUACCGGAUAGGAGCUCCUGCUGCAUGGUGGGGGUUGGAAAGUUUCGGCGGUUGGGGAUGGACUCGCGGCUUAUCAGCUUGUUGGUGGGGUAGUGGCUUACCAAGGCUUUGACGGGUAGCCGGCCUGAGAGGGUGACCGGCCACAUUGGGACUGAGCUACGGCCCAGACUCCUACGGGAGGCAGCAGUGGGGAAUAUUGCACUAUGGGCUGAAGCCUGAUGCAGCAACGCCGCGUGCGGGAUGACGGCCUUCGGGUUGUAAACCGCUUUCGCCUGUGACGAAGCGUGAGUGACGGUACUGGGUAAAGAAGCACCGGCUAACUACGUG
rnacentral:rRNA from 1 species